rnacentral:misc_RNA from 1 species
GAUGAAGAACGCAGCGAAAUGCGAUAAGUAAUGUGAAUUGCAGAAUUCAGUGAAUCAUCGAAUCUUUGAACGCACAUUGCGCCCGCCAGUAUUCUGGCGGGCAUGCCUGUUCGAGCGUCAUUUCAACCCUCAGGCCCCCAGUGCCUGGUGUUGGGGAUCGGCCCAGCCUUCCUGUAAGGCCGCCGGCCCCGAAAUCUAGUGGCGGUCUCGCUGUAGUCCUCCUCUGCGUAGUAGCACAACCUCGCAGUUGGAACGCGGCGGUGGCCAUGCCGUUAAACACCCCACUUCUGAAAGUUGACCUCGGAUCAGGUAGGAAUACCCACUGAACUUAAGCAUAUCAAUAAGCGGAGGA